GACGAAACGUACGAACGUUAUUCGGAAUUACUGGGCUUAAAGCGUGCGUAGGCGGCGCGGUAAGUUGGAUGUGAAAUCCCUCGGCUCAACCGAGGAACUGCGUCCAAAACUGCCGUGCUCGAGGAAGAUAGAGGUGAGCGGAACUCACGGUGGAGCGGUGAAAUGCGUUGAUAUCGUGAGGAACACCCGUGGCGAAAGCGGCUCACGGGGUCUUUUCUGACGCUGAGGCACGAAAGCUAGGGGAGCAAACGGG
rnacentral:rRNA from 1 species